GUAGCUAGUCCCUCAACUGUGGUGUGCGCUGGAAAGCACCGUUGGCGAGAUUGGCCAUUUCCAAUUGUUCCCAUAAUGAUUACCCUCCAUAUGAGGACUUCUGUAAGAAAUGCUCAUGUUAGUUUGAUGACUGUGAGAUAUCCCAUUCGUAUAUUUAUCUUUAAAGGCCUCCAUGGUAUAAAUACCUUUGCAUUUUGUGAAUAUAUUGCUUAAAAUAAAAAUGUCUCUUCCCAUUUCGAACUGGCUAAGUGCUAAUUUCAGCCGCUAUUCUGUAACUGAAGUGAUCACAAAAUGCGUUUGGUGUGGGAAACUCAUGCAUCAAGCUGUAAGUAUUUGGGCCUUAUUUUUGUGGGAUGGUAGUGAAGGAUGGUGGGGAGAGAAAAGGUUACUACGUUUACUUCUUAAUAUUUGCUCCAUUGAUUUAAAAUGUGAAUUUUUAAUUUCAGCUAGAAAUGUUGGAAUGCUUCAGUGUUAAUUUCUAAAAGUCUUUGGUUUUUCUGAAAAUUGUUCCAUUUUCCAAGGUUCAUGAAAUGUGAGGUGUUUUUUUUUUUUUUUUUUUUUUGAGGCUCUUUCUCAAAAAUUUCAUUAAAUGUGGACUAUAAAUCUGAAGCAUUUAACAUUUGGUAUUUUUGUUUCCAGACAAACAGGGAAUUAUGCAUGAGAUGAUUUUGAGGGGUCCAAAUGGCCCUGGCCAGGUGAAAACCUGCCCCCUGCACCGCCCCCUCUGAGUUGACCAGGGCACAAGAAAAGCACAAAGGAAUGCCUACAUUCACGAUUUGGGGAGCACCACCAAAAUCGAAUAAAAAGCCUUAGUUUGGAAACCAUCAAUGAAGGAAGGAACCCACUGGAAUGUUUGUAAUUACAAGUGGCACCUCCUUGUUUAAAUUUCAGAAGCCACAGUUUCUUUUUCAGAGAUUUAAAUUGCAGGCUCUAGCCAGCAGCUGCUGUUGUGGUUAAUGGGCAGUUUCUCUUUGAAGAUCUUCCAAGUGCUGGUUCUCAAAAGCUUUGGUGCAGUUGGCCUUGAACUAGGGUUAGAAAAAAGGGCAAUGUAGGUAUUUAUACAAAUGCACAGCUCAAAUGACGUGUGGCCUUUAUUAUUACUCAAAAGAAACUUGGCGUUAAGGUUGAGAAAAACCCAGCACUGAGAAAAGCCUGUUAUGACUGACAGGUAUCUUGAAUGAGGUGAUUAUCUUAAGGGAGAUAAGGUGGGAGAAAUUUUUUUUAGUAGAUGUUUUACUGGAAUAUAGGCAUUUGACCCAACAUUUUGAUCUAGGUAUUUAAAAAAUGUUAAAUAGGUUUGAAAUGAAAGUGCUGUGAUAUAUAUUUAAAUGCUACUCGGUGUUUGAAGUUGAUAUUCCAGUGACAUAGACUUUUAAAAAUGCCUAGAAUAAGUAUCUUGCUCUUGGCAGACUUCCUUGGGAAGGUAGGUGCUCUGAUUCCUCGUCGGCUGUCCAGCACUGGACUGCAGUGUCUAGUCGGAAUUAAGUUAUGCCGUCUCUAGAGGAGGUGGGAAGAAACUGCCUGAAAACAAAGGGCUCUCCAGUUUCCUGAUUCCCAUUGUCUGUGCCAUAUCUCCACUUGGCUGGGAUUAACCUAAAAGUUAGCGUUUAAAAAAUUUGAACCUUUUAUCUUUUUGCAGUAGGUAUCAACUUUUCUCAAAGUCUCCAUUAUUACAAAUGACACCAUCGACAUCCUGGUCUCCAAGGCCCCUAAAUUUGGAGUCUUUUUUCCCCUCCUUAGCUUUCCUGCUUGCACUGAAAUAAAAUGGGCCUGACUGUUUCUAAGUGACAUUCUCUGGAAACAUCAGUGCCCUCUCCAAACUGUGUUUUGCUAACAGGAGGCUCCUAGCCAGUUCCCCUUACUCUAGUCCUCUGCUAGCUACUGCAAUUCUAAUUCUUUUCAGGACAGGAUCAUAACAUUUCCCGUUCAGAAACCUAAUCUCAAAUUCUUACUUCUUGCAUCAGAUUCAAACUCCACACUGUUUUGUCUUUAGGUUGUUCUUCCUCAAUUGCUCUCCCACUCCCUCUCUAAUUGCCCUCAUUUCUUAUUACUUUUCAGCUUAAUCCUGAUGGGACUGGAAGACUGAUGAUUCUCCAGUGAAACUGAGGAAGAAAGUGGUUCUGCCUAUCAGCCUUCAGCUGGUUACCUUUGCAUAAAAUACUCUCUUUAUCUUUUUUCCCUUAACUGUCUGUCUUGGUUUGUAGGUGUAGGAUGGCUGAUUUCUCUUUGCCUACAUUGAGAAUAAACACCUUCCUUUUACAUCUUUCAUUUUAACUAACACAUACUUACCUAAAAGGUACCUCAACCCACAUGUUUCUUUCUUGACUUCACAGGUUUAUACGUGAUUAUGUUUCUUGAUGCUAAGCCAAACUGUGUUGAUAUUAUGGCCAUGAUUUUCAUGAAAAUUUAAAACUUUAGAUUGUUGAAAAUGUAUUGUCUCCAUUUGGUAGUUUGUAUUUGAAUAUGGGGAUUUACUGCAGCAUGAAAAUGGUGUAAUUGACUUAACAAAUUACAAGCUGUCAAAGUAAGACUUUCAGACAAAAAGUGAAGUCGUUUAGAAGUAGGAAGUCUUUUUAAGGGUCACAAUCAGAGGGCCUCAUGUGGAACUGCUGACUUGUGGUGAAUGAGAUUGGCGCCUCUGAAGAUGAUCCAAGAGAUACCACCACCUUACAGGAGUAUUUGGUGCUUGUGUCUGGUGCGUGUAGUUACCUAGUUACCAGAAAAUAAUAAAUAAAAUAAAAUAAAUCCUAAAAAAUCUACCCAGAGAAAUGGAAGGGAAGUGCUUUAAAACCCAGGCCUUUAUUAGCUAGUGUUUUCAACACGUUUGACUUUGGGAGCAGAGCUGCCUGACUAAACGAAGUUACCGCCAUCAGUCACUGCCAGGCCAGCAUUGGGACAGGUCUAGGAAUUUGGUUACAUUUUGCAUUUUGGUAGAUAACAUAGAGGGUGGAUUAUGACUGGCUCAAGUAACAAAAAAAUGAAACCUUUCUUUCUCAGUCUACCUGCUAAAUUUGUUAUCAUAAGGAUCUUUUCAAAGCCUUUAUCUGGGAUCAAUAUCUGCCAGAGUUCUUCCUUCCUUUUUUCCUUGCCUGACACCCUUCCCUUCAGAGUUCAGUUCUUGCUAGUAGAAAAAGCCUAUGUGGCAUGAUAAUACGGUGAUUUUAAAAGUUGAUUAUCUUGAAGUAUUUUGGGACAGUUUUGGGGAAUGGGUUAUGUGGUAUGUAUUUAUUUGGCUCUUUGCUGAAUAUGUCUGUAUAAAUCCAGCCUCCUGGAUGUUACAAGUCAUCCCCUUGAUUUCUUCUUCUGAAUAAAAAAGGAGGCUUGCUUCAUUUUUCUUGCAGAAACCCUUAUUUAAACAAUGAAAACUUCAAAGAUAGGGAGAAAAAAACCAAGUUAAUUUAGUACUAAAUUACUACUCAAAUGGUUUUAUCUUUUAAAAGGUUCAAGUAGAGAUUAGCUUAAAUACACUGAAUUUCACUUUUCCUUGUGUCUACAUAUCUUGUGAGCAAACUUCAUCGUGAAGAGCUCUCUGUCUUCUUUAGUUUUGUUAGUAAUCACAUAAUUGUUAGUUGCUGUUUAUUUCCCUUUCCUGAAGCAAAUCUCUCCAUCUCUGGGCCAGGUUGGCAAGCGGAAUACCCAGUUAAGGUUACAGGAUAGUAAAACCAAGUGCUUUAAUCAAACUGCUUACUUUACAAGAUGGCAAAAAUAAAAUAAUACAUGUGAACACUCUUAAGUAGGAAGUGUUUUCUACCUAUUUACCUAUCUCUGUUUAUCAAUCACUUUUAUUAAAACAGCAAUACCUAGUGGUGGGGGUUAUUUCUCUGGCUACGGCUAAUAAUAAUAACUUUUGUAAAUCUUCCACAUGUUAGGGAAUAGUGAAAAAAAAAAUACUAUGUAAAAAGGAUUAAUUCAGGAUGUACUCAGUCAUCUCUAAGGUGAAACUGAAGAACACCGUGACAGCAAGAUCCUGACUGGAGUUGAAUGUUUUUUGAUAAGUGAAUGGAAUCAUCUUGUAGUCUUGGGGAAACUGACAAUGAUUAUAAUCUCUAAUUGCUGGGUCUUCUAACACAGAAAGGGCAUUAUUGUUUUACACAAUUUUUUAUAUUUUUAUAUACUAUGUUUAAUAAAGAAAUGGUGUUUCUGUAGCUAACCCAUAAGACAUUUGGUAGAAAAAUGAACAUUUAAAAAUGACUUUAAAAUUGAGUAUCUGCUUUUAUACCAGGCACUGUGUUAGGUUCAUCUUUGUCUUUCAGAAGGUUCUAGUCUAGUUUUCCCUCAACCUUUAUUUCAAAAAAUUUCAAAACCACAGGCAACUUGAAAGAAGAAUACAAUGAAUACUUGUAUUUACUUUACCUAGAUCCAUCAACUGUUAAUAUUUUCCCCAUUUGCUUUCUCUCUCUCUCUCUCCAAAUAGUAUACACACAUACUCAUUCAUUUUUCUUCCCUAAGCCACAUGAAAGCACAUUGCAUCAUGAUGAAUACUUCAGCAUGUAGCUCCUAAGAAUAAAGACAUUUUCCUGGGCACACGCAAUACCAUUAUUACAUUAAAAUUAUCUAGUCCAUGUUCAAAUUUCCCCAGUUACUUUGUUCUCUCUGCUGCAGAAUCUAUCAGAGAUCACACAUUGGAUAUGGUCUCUAGUCUCUUUUAAUCUAGAACCAUUACCUUGCUUGCCACCUAUUUUUUCUUUAAGGAGUUUUUAAGUGGUAUCUUUUAUGGCAUUGACAUUUUGAUGAAUCCACCUGCUGCUUUGUAGAAUGUUCUGCAGUUCUACAAAUUGUUUGAUCAUUUCCUCAUGGUUCAGUUCAGAUUAAACAUCUUUUGCAAGAGCCCUGCAUAGCUGAUACUGCCAACUUUCUUGUAACACUGCCUCAGGAGGGACAUAAUAUCAGUUUGCCCUAUUACUAGUUUGAGCCCUUGGUUCAAGAUAUAAAUUUAGUUACUGAGUGUAGGUGAAUUUAUAGAGUUCUCCAUUUUUGUCCCUUUAUAAUUAAUAAUAACCUUGUGUAUACAUAUCUUGUGAGCAAACUUCGUUGUGAAGAGCCCUCUGUCUUCUUUAGUUUUGAGCCUGAAGAUCUUGUUCUCUAAUGGCCCUUUACUUAACGGAUUGAACAGCAUUGAUAAAUCUUGUCUGAAUCAAAUAUUAUGUCAGUGGUUACAAAACUGUGAUUUUCUAAUUCUCUAAUUCCUCUACUUGGGUAGAGGCAUUUCUGAAUAAAGAAGAGCUUGGCUUCCCUACUCUUCCCUCUUUUUUUUUUUUUUUUUUAAGAAAAUUACAAUGGGUUCAGUGUGGUGUGUUUAAUUACCAUCAGAUUUGGCCAGUGGGAACCCCUUCAGAGUGGCUCCUGUAUCCUUUUAAUAUAUUCUCAUUAAUUUUUAAGCUCUUUUGUAUUUCAUGUCACAAGAAGAUAUCUAUGUUUACAUUGUAUUUUCCCUGCCCCCAUACCUGGAAUCGGUUAUUUCUCCAAGGAGUCCUGGUUCCUUUUAGUCAAAGAAUGAUAUUUAGACAGCAGAUAUCUAAGAAUUGUGCUCAUUGCUACUGACUUGUCAUUGUUUCUAAACUUUUCAGUGAGCAAACAAGGAUAUGUGUGUGUAUAAAAUAUCCUUUGUCUCAAAAAAAGUUAUAUGUGAAUUUUCAGCUGCAUGGGGGUAGGGGCCCUGUGUUCAAGGGUCAACUGUGUGAGUGAAUUUUAAAAAUAUUUAUUCAUUUAAAUCACAAUGUCAUGCUAAUACAUUCAAUUCCAGUCUAACAUCCGAGGGUACUUUCUCUCCAUCUCUCAUUCCUUAUUUGUGUUUUCUUUCUCCCAUGGUGAAAACUCUGUUUCCCAGUGACAGCAACGUCUUUUUAGUACAAAAUAGUUUUGGAAUUACUCCACCAAAACCAUUGUAGACAACAAAUCUACCAGUUACCACUGUUGCCCAUUUUACAGAAGACGAAGAGGAGAGGACAGUAAUAGGUCCCUUGUCCAAGAAACACAAAUGAAGUUGAGUUGGAGGCACAUUCAGGUGAAGAUACCUAGCGGCACUCUGUGGCACUCAUUUGGAGACAUGGCCAUGGAUGAGAUCUCCUAAGAAGAAUGUAUAUGGAAGAGGAAGAGAAGCUAAGGACAGAAUGUCAGGAACGUCAACAAUUAAAGGUAGGCAGAAGAUGAACUAGUGAGAGGGGUGAAGAAGGGGCUGUCAAGAGACUUUGAGGAAAGCCAGGAAAGCCUUUUGUUUUGGCAUCUAAGAAGGUGAGUGAGCCACAGUGUCAAAUGCUACAGGGAAGUCAGAUAAGAUAAGGGAGGCCAUCAUGGCUAUAGAACUUAGGUAUUCAUAGGGGACCUCUGCCUUACAAUUUCAGUGCAGCAGUGAGUGUGGAAACCAGAUGGCAGUGCGUGGAGCAAAUGGAAGUACAGAAUAGGAAGCACGCUGUAGACACGUGUCUGAAGAGGCUUGACUGGUGAAAGUAAGGUGAGGGAGAAGGGGACUGGAAAUAAGGAGAUGUAGAACUUAGAGAAAUUUUAAAGUAUGUAUUUUUUUGAAUCAGGGAGGUGUGAGAAGGUUUAUAUAUAUCAUAAAAUGAGAGAUAUUACACAGGGAGAUGAAAAAUAGGGAAGUGAGAGUUGAUCACUGACCAUCAAGGGCCGUGAUGAGGUUCAGGAGGAGGCAUUUGCUGAGAGGAGUGGGGGCAAGAGACCAUUGUUUUCUUCUGAGGUGGAGAUAAUGGGCAAGGCUUUAAGAAGGAGGGUGGGUGUAGAUAAGAUUGCACCCCGCAGGGCUGAGGCCUGGAGGGAGGGAGAACCUUCUUGGGAAAGUAGGAUCCCAUGCUAAACCUGUUGAUGGUGAGAUGGAGCUGUGCAGGGUGAGAAACUGGGAAGGUUUGAAAUAUUCUCCCUCCAGGGGAACUCAGAAAUUCUAGGGAGCAACCAGCUGAGGCUGGAAACAUUAUGUUGCAGUGACCCAAGGCCCCUUGGGUGCUGAUUGUCCUUGUCUGAGCAGCAGACUGAAAUGUCACUCUUCCCAGAGACCAGUCUGAGAUGUCCUUGAUAUCUUCCUUCCCUUUCAGAGGGAAGGCAGGUCAAUGUAUCAUGGAAAUUUAGAGCUGAAGGCGACUUUAGAGAGCACACAGAACUCCCUCAUCUUGUAAAUGAGGAGACCAGCUCAGAAAAGUGAAUGACUUAUUCAAGUGGAUCCAAGGCCAGGGCUAAGACCAGGCCUGACUUGCAGCUCAGGGUUUUCUUUGUUGUUCCCUUGCUACCUCCUUGAUAAGGAUUAUUAGUAAAUCCCACUCAUUAUAAAUGCUCUUAAUUUCCCAUUUUGUACACUGGGAAUUCUACACCAUUUUCUUUCUCUUCCAGUUUUUUUGUUUUGUUUUUCUUAUUUGUGGAGUUCAAGCAGGUAUAACAGUAUUCUAGGAUGCUAAAAAUAAAUAGACUUAGGUAUCUUUUCUUAAGUGGAGAUGAUACUGGAUUAGAUGAGAAUAUUAUUUGGGACCUGUAAAAAGGUAAAACUUAAAUGCUGAAAUGUUUGGAAUUUCUGUUCUUACAAACUUUAUAAUUUUAAAGAUAAGUAGAUUUAUUCACACGUUUUAAAAUUCUUUCAUUCCAUAUUUCAAGAGGAUUUACUAGGUGAUGAUGCCACAGCAAAGAAUUUCCAUAUCUGUCCUAUUGUCUGUUGAGAAUUGAUGAUUAUAUUACUAUUCUCUCCAUCUAGAGUAUCAAGGUUAAUACUGGUAACUUGUGAAUGCUUCUUUGGGAUCUACCAUCCAUGUCCUUAGCCUAGACAAGAACUAAGAAGCAGAAAAUAGAAUGUCUGUUGGAUAAACACAGAUUUGGUAGGAGUGAUUUAGUUUGGAGCAGGGGAACCUUAAUUAAUUAUCACUGUUUAUAAUACAUUUUUCCCCUUUGUUUCCAAGAAUGAGAAUAGUUCAGCAACACAAUUGAUAAAUAAAACAUAAAAGGUCAGUUGUGGUUGCCCUGGUAACUAUAUUUCUCAGCAAGUAUUUUGUUUGCCAUGAAAUGUGUCCAGGGUGAUUUACUGGAAAUCAGACUCUGAAUGUCAUGACUUUUUGUAUUUGAAUUUCUUAUGUACUCAUUUAGGAGGGACAAUUUUGUAGGUUUUUUUGGGUUGGGAUCUGAAGCUCUAUGUGUGAUGGGGAUCCUUGUGUGUUUUUCUUUUUUUGGAAGACAAAUAGGAAACUGUGAUUACAGUGAAUCUAUUUAAGUUUAAGAUGAAUUUCCAAGUCUAAAGUGGGAUUUAAGAGUAUUUGAAUCAUUUUGGGGAUACAUGAAAUUUCUUAAAACUGGAAUAUUUUAAUGUAGAAUUUGAACAUAGGAUACUUUCUGAUCAAUGAUCAGGAAUGUGUUAACAUUACAUUUUGACUUAAUUCCUAUGCAAUUAAUUUUGAGUAGAAUAAAUUAUUCUCAAAAAAGUCUUAAAGAUAAAAAUCAAAAUAAUUAAGCAAUUAGAGCAAUUGCCACUUCUAGAUGAUUUAUGGUAGUGUGAAUUAAAGCUAAGUGAAUAAUUUUUUAUACGUUUAUUGUAUUCGUUGACCCCCAACAAAAUCACUUCAGUCUACAGACAUAGUUGUACAAGUGCACAAAUAUAUACGUAGAAAGAUGUAACUGCUGCAUUGAUUUUAAUAGCAAAAAAUUGGAAGCAAUCCAAAUGUCGAUCAGUAAGGGACUGAUUCGAUUAUGAUCUGUCCAUACAAUGGAAUACUUGGUAGCCAUUAAAAAGAGUGAUGUAGAUCUAUAUCUGCUGACAAGAGAAGACUUCCAGGGUGUAUCAGUAGGUGAAGAAACGCAUAUUGUAGAAUAUUGUGUAAGUAUUUUAUAUAUAAUUAAUCUAUAAUGCAUAUUAUCUAAUUGGCAUAUUCAUUUAAAAUGUGAAGAAUCAACAGAAAGUUCUUAACAAUGGCUAUCUCUGGAGAGUGAGAUUAUGAAGGACUUUUACUUUCUAAGUUAACUUUGCAUAUUGUUUAAAAUUUCUGUAAUGAAUUUGGGUUACCUUGGUAAUUAGAGAAAGAGAGAAGAUACAAAGCUGUAUUUAAAGAGUCUAAAAAGAUCAGUUGAAAUGGGUGUGGUAUGUAAAUACAUUAGGCUUUGCAGUAAUCUUUUAUUUACUCUUUGUUUUUGUCCAGAUACAUAGGAGUUUAAAGAGGUAUUUAUAUUUAUGUCUUUUGAAACAUCAUACUGACAGAUUUUUAAGCCUUUUCUAGAUAUUUAGCCCUUUUUUUUCUCACAUUUCAGUUAUUUUCUGAAUAUAUCCUUUACUUUAGAUUAUCACUUUGCAAGGUAACCUGUUUUAUUUACAUUUUAGUUGCUAUUGAGUAUGCUUUGAUGGACUUUGUCUUUUGUUUAAAGCAUGAUUGCUGGCCUGAUUACUAGAUUUGUUUUAUUUUAAAAUUAUAUGAUCUCCAUAUACAAUACCAGAGGAUUUAGGAAUUUUAUGUAUAAUUUAUAGUUUAAGAGUAUUUGAAUGAUUAUUGGGAUACAUGAAAUUUCUUAAAACUGGAAUAUUUUAAUAUAGAAUUUGAACAAAGGAUACUUUCUGAUUAAUGAUCAGGAGUGCAUUAACUUAUUACCCUUUUGACUUAAUUCCUAGGCAAUUAAUUUUGAGUAGAAUUGAACCUCUUAUCCAAAACCUCUUUAAAAGCAUGUUUCCACCCUUUUCCCAAGGACAAGAAUAGAAUGGAAUCUGUAUUCUGCAGGAUUUCAUCUGGAUGCAAUUUUCUAGAUUCUGCCUCCAUUGCACUGAAUGUAAAGUUUUCUUGUGUUUGUGUGUGUUUGGUCCCAGGCUCUGCCUGGACCCCAGCUGCAGCAGGAAUCUGGAGAAGACACUUCUCCAGUGCAGCCAGUUUGUCUUUUCACAGAGGAGUCAUCAAUGCAAAUAGGAUUAGGAAGAAAAUGCACAUGGUCCUGCCUUUUAUUGCCAUUUUCAAUGCAUAAGCUUAGUUUGUUAGUACACAGAGUGGAGCAGAAAUCACUAUUCCAGACCCUUGCUGUGAAGUUUACUGUUUCAAUACGGUGAUGAUAUCUGUUAGGAGAAAGCUACAAAGUGAGGUAGACUUUAGGUCACAGCGUUGACAUUGUGGAUAUAUUUUAUGGAUCUGUUGACUUAAUGCAAGUUUAGAAAACAGCCUUACAUUUUUAAUUUUCUUCCUGUCUGCUUUGGUUACAUGAAGCUGGAUAGGCAAUUCCUUUUCUUAGAAAUAACCAUUGGAUUCUUGUCCUUGGGAAGAGAAUGGAAAUAGCCUUUAAAGAGAUUUUGGUUAAGAUGUUAUUAUACCUUGGAUAAGAUUUAAGGCAGUGUUUAAUUUUUUUUUCCAUGAUCCAUGCAACUGUAUGCACAAGAAAUUUAUAUGGUGUAUUUAUCCUUUACUGCAUUCUGUGUACCUUGAUUUUUUUCUUCAUUGUGCUCUCAUAUUUCGUUUCCUUUCUCUUACCGAUCAAUCCAAACCUAUCCGCUAUAUUCUGUCCACCUUAAUCUGUGCACCAUCCUAUCCUGUCUACCCUAUGCUAUCCUGCCCUAUCCUGCCCGACUCUGUUCUGUACUCUUCAUUUCUAGUCUAUUUCUUUUCUUUUUUUUUUUAAAGAAAUGCUGGAUGGGGCCCAUUACAUUUAUUUUAAGAUUUACCAUUUGAAAAUCAUUGAUAUGAAGGUGGCAGAUUGUAAUAAAUAAAACUACCAAAGGGCUUGGAUGUUAUGUAUUUCUUGAGUGUCAUCUGUCUUUUUCAGUGGACGUCAGCAUGCUGUUAACUUUCAAUUAUUAUGUGUGCCCCAUGGCUUGUUUGCUGGCAUAGUAGGAUGACAAAGUUAAGUACCUCAUUAUGAGAUAUAUAUGGUUGUUGAUUUCUAAGUUAUCGUUCUUCCAGGAGAGUUUUUAACUAGGAAGUCUUUAUCACCCUGAUUCUCUUAUCAUUGUAUAAAUGUUGAGUAGUCUGUUUGUGUAUCCGGUGAUGCUAAUAAGGUCUGCAUUUUCUCGGUGUAAAUUAUGCCCUACAGAAUGUUUAAUUCUAGAAUCAUGUUCUCCUACCACCCAGCGUGCUCCUGGCCCCCUCCUGCUGCCAUCUCCUGAUGCAUGCAGACAGCAUGCAAACCCAUUGUAACACUGGACUAAGUAACACAGGGUCUCCACCUCUAAGUUAAGAUAAACCUGCCUCAGAGGAAAAACAAACAAACAAAAACAAAUCACCAAUCAUUCCAGUAUAGUUACAAACCACAUGGAAAUGAUCGUGGAUUAUCUGGUCUUGGUCAUCUUUUAGUUUAGAUACUUUAGUAUUGACUUUGACCAAGAUAAUUUUAUAACUGAAUUUUAACCUUUGUUUUUAUAUUAUAAAAUUAGAAUAUAAGUUAUAUUCUUGAGACUCUUGAGAGUACAGAUAAUAUAUAUGUCUUGUAUAUAUUGUAGAAGCCAACUCUGUGCCAGGACAUAAUUGGUUCUUGAUAAAUGUAUUGAUUUAAUUUGAAUGUGAAUUGCAUAUUAAAUACUAAGACUUUGGUAAUACCAUAAUAAUUAAAAAUUUUGCUAAGUGCUUACUAUGAGCAAGUUAUAUUCAUCAUUUCAUUGAGUUCCCACUACUAUUUUAUAAGAGUGAACCUUUUUGCUAGCAGUAAUUUUAAUUUACACCUUUAAGGAUUUAUUUUUAAAUUUACAUAAACUGAAAUUUACUUUUUUUGGGUAGAGUUCUGUGAAUUUUGACACAUGCAUAGAAUUGUAUAUCUACUUUACAGUGGCAUGAUUACCACAGUCAGUAUACAGUUUCCUCGCUCACCCGGAUCCCCUCAUGCUGUCUCUCUCUAGUCAAACCUCCCUCCAACUGCUAACCUUUGGCAGCCAUAUUGAUCUGUUUGCCAUUGCUAUAGUUUUGCUUUUUCCAGAAUGUCAUAUACAUGGAAUCAUACUGGAUGCAAUUUUUGAAUGUAGCUUCUUUUACUUAAUAUAUUGCAUCUGAAAUUCAUCAAUGUUACUAUAUGUACCUCUCUAUCAGUUGUUCGUUUCUUUUUAUUGCCAAGUAGUAUUCCACUGGUGUAUGGAUGUACUAUAGUCUAUCCCUUCAUUCACUGAAGGACAUUUAGGCUGUUGACAGUUUUUGGCGAUAUGAGUAAUGUGGCUAUGUAUCUGGGUGCACGUUUUUUUGUGGGCCAUAAGUUUUCAUUUCUAUUGGCUAAAUGCCUAGGAGUAGAUUGCCAGGUCAUUUGAUAAGUAUAGUUGGCUCUCCGUAUCCAAAGGUUCUGCAUCUAUGUAUUCAACCAGCUUCAGACAGAAAAUACUUGAAAAAAUAAAAAUUCUUAGCCUAAGGUAGAGAGGAAAAAAAUAAAAAAUAAAAUUAAAAUAUAAAAUAAAAAAUACAGUAUAACAACAAUAUAGCAUUUACGUUCUAUUAGGUAUUAUAAGUAAUCUAGAGAUUUAAAGUAUACAGGAGAGUAUGGGCAGGUUCUAUGCAAAUAGUACACCAUUUUAUAUAAGCGACUCGAGCAUCUGAGGAUUUGGGUGUGUGAAGGGGUCCUGGAACCAGUCUCAUGAAUACUGAGGGACAACUAUACAUGUUUAAGAAACUGCCAAACUAUUUUCUAGAGUGACUGUACCAUUUUGUUUUCCCACCACAAUAUAUAGGAAUUCCAGUUUCUCUAAAUCCUUGUCAACACUAUAUUGUCAGUAUAUGUGUGUGUGUGUGUGUGUUUAGUUGUAGUCAUUCUAGUAAGUAUGUAGAGAUAUCUCAUUAUGGUUUUUUUAAUUAUUAUACUUUAAGUUCUAGGGUAUAUGUGCACAACGUGCAGGUUUGUUACAUAUGUAUACAUGUGCCAUGUUGGUGUGCUGCACCCAUUAACUCAUCAUUUACAUUAGGUAUAUCUCCUAAUGCUAUCCCUCCCCCCUCCCCCCACCCCACGACAGGCCUUGGUGUGUGAUGUUC